rnacentral:sRNA from 1 species
CCCAGCGAUAAAUUGCUGGGCUAUUAUCAGUUGCCCCUCCGGGGCA